GGCGACGGCGUUCUCGCCGGAUGUAGGAACCGACCCGGGGACCGCCGGGGCAACCCGGCGCCCCCGAGACGGGGCGAACCACGGUGAAAUGACGGAUCGUCGGCCCCGCGCCGGCGACUCGCCGAAUGAGUUUCUGACCUAUCAACUCGAGACGGCGGGGUAGAGGCCCGCCGCGGUAACGACGGGUAACGGGGGAAUCAGGGUUCGAUUCCGGAGAGGGAGCCCGAGAAACGGCUACCACUUCCAAGGAAGGCAGCAGGCGCGCAACUUACCCUAAUCUCGAUUCGAGGAGGUAGUGACAAGAAAUACCGAUGCGGGACCCUACGGGUGCCGCGUUCGGAAUGAGUACGAUUCGAACCACCUAACGAGGAACGAUCGGAGGGCAAGUCUGGUGCCAGCAGCCGCGGUAAUUCCAGCUCCAAUAGCGUACG
rnacentral:rRNA from 1 species